rnacentral:miRNA from 1 species
AUGCAACAAAACUGCGGUUA